AUUGAACGCUGGCGGUAUGCCUAACACAUGCAAGUCGAACGGCAGCGCAGUAAGAGCUUCUUCUUACGGGUGGCGAGUGGAGGGCGGGUGUAAUAUACCGCGGCAUCUACUUUUUCGUGGGGGAUCACGCAGGGAGACUUACGCUAAUACCACAUACGACCUACGGGAGAAAGCAGGACCUCUUAGUACCUUGCGCGAUUUUAUGAGCCGAUGUCGGAUUAGCUAGUUGGCGGGGUAAAGGCUCACCAAGGCGAAGAUCCGUAGCUGGUCUGAGAGGAUGAUCCGCCACACUGGAACUGAGACACGGCCCAGACUCCUACGGGAGGCAGCAGUGGGGAAUUUUGGACAAUGGGCGCAAGCCUGAUCCAGCCAUGCCGCGUGGGUGAAGAAGGCCUUCGGGUUGUAAAGUACUUUUGUUAGGAAAGAAAAGUAGGAGGUGAAUACUCGGCUGUUCUGACGGUACCUAAAGAAUAAGCACCGGCUAACUUCGUG
rnacentral:rRNA from 1 species